ACAAAAUUAAAAUAUAAAAUUGAUAUUUUAUCUUUUGCCACUCAUCUACCAGUUGUCCCAAAUGAGACAAACCUCUAUUCAAGAAAAUACAUCUCCAAGAUCGAUCAUAUUGUCUUGUUGGGAGCAACUUAUUAUGAAUUAAACUACAGGUCUACAGCAUGGUGACAGUCACUACCUUUAAUACGUAAUUACUUGGACAAAGCUAGUAACAGAUCCAUAAAUUACUUCAACCAAAAUCCAUAAGAGUUCUGCCUUAAAUUGGGGUUGUUCACAGUGACUUCAUGUACAUCCAUAAAAGACCAACAUACAUAAGAGAAACUCAAAAGCACUUCAACCAAGUAAAUCUUCGUCUGUAUGAUCACACAGAGUUCUGCACUGUUUGCUUUGUGCUCACUGACUCAUUCUGCGAGCUGCAUAGAAUAAAAAAUAUGAUUUAGAACCAGAGCAAUAGAUCCCAAUUCUGAGCUGUAAUUUGAGUGUAUUUCAAAAAUAAUAUUGGGUCUCACGAUUCCAUUCUGCAAGGAAUAGAGAGCAAGGAUUUCUGCAUAGAAAACCAUCAUAUCAUGCACAUAUAUAAAUAUUUUGAAAACUAAUAAACCUUUUUCAUUUUUGAAACACAUGCAUAUCAAGAGAGUACAAUGGUCCUUGAGUAGUUGAGUUCCUUGUCUAAGUGUACUUAAUUAAUGUCUCUCUUCCAGGCUCCAAUUAAGCUGGCCAAUCGUAUUGAUGAGAUUAUGCGUGAUUUUUCUUGGGGGUACCAAGGAGGUUCAUCAUUAUUAUUCAGUUGGCUAGGACAGUUUGCGCUCCUAAGUUACAGGGUAGGCUGGGGAUUUUAGAAGCUUAACAAAAACUGUGUGGGUGCUAUGGAUGAUAAACUACAAAUAGUGCUAAUAUAACAGUUGAAUAUUCAAACAAAUCAAACAAUAUACAGAAAGUAAAUAACACACAGAAAUUUUUAACGUGGUAAAACCCAAUAAGGGAAACGUCCACGGUUGUCCUCGCGACAACAAAUAAUCCACUAGAUGAAAGAGAUUUACAAACCUACCAACUACCUGCACUCACUGCGAGCUGAUACUCCUGAUUAUCUCUAACACCUUGACUUCACCAGAGCACCUUGAUGUACGCACAAGACACUCGACUUCUUGAUGAACACACAAGAAGACUCGAAGCCGAAUUCACAAUGAAACUUGGAAGAUAACAGAUUUAUGAAUUGAGAGAAGGAGGAAGGAAGGGAAUUGAGUUCAAUAACCAAAAACACUUUCAACACCAAAACCUAAACCAAAACUCCAGAACAAGAGGAAUACUGGACGGCCAAAGAACUAACCUAUUCUUUGGAAGAGAAACUCUAUUUAUACUUAGGGUUGGAGAACACAGAAAAUAGGCCGAAAUAGAGAAAAUCCCCAUUGGACGUACGUACGUCGAUAUGACGUUCGUACGUCUCCAUCCGAAACAACUUGUUGACUGCUUGGACGUACGAACGUCCUAACAAGGUACGUACGUCCAGACCAAAAACUUUCCUGCUGCCUAACCAUACGUACGUACGUCCUAACAUGGUACGUACGUUUACCACAAUGAGAGUUCUGCUGCCUAACCUGACGUACGUACGUCCUAACAAGGUAUGUACGUCCUGAACCAAAAACAACCUUUUGACACGAGACACGAAGACAAAGACACAGGAUGACACGCGUACAACAAGGUUUUCUUAACAAUGAACUCAAAGCGAAAUAACCAUGGACGACCAAUGUCACAAAAUUGAUGUCAAACAACUUAGAGCCGGUUUCAAUGGAGGAACAAGAGGUUCUUUGAUCACAAGAAGAAGGAACCUUGUAAACUUUUAAUUUAAAUGAAAGAAACAUUGUUUGAUUGGUCUAUAUGGGUCGUGGAUUUUAGAAGCUUAGGUUUUCAAGAUCUUGUUUCUAAGUGGGAUGAUCUCGUUUUGUAAGGGGGCAAUAUUGUGCCAUUAGUUACUUGUUAGUGGGCAAUUAUCCAUCACCAAGUUGUAAUCCACAAGUUUAUGGAAUGAAAUAUAACCUUUAUUGAUAAAAAAUAAAAUAAAAUCCAAGCGGUUGGAUUUGGGGGAGAGCAUGAUCAUUUGUGGAGACGCACUGUUGUCUCUACUCUCUAGGCAUAUGACCCCUUAACUGAAUUUGGUCUUUCACAGCUUUAUCUCACUAAUAAACUUCUUUUAUUCACUUCUCUCUAUUAUAUAACAGCUUGAAUUUAGACGUUACUUUUUUUCUUCAAACAGGGAAAACAAACCUAUAGAAUAAAUAGGCAACAAAACCAAUUGAACAAAGACAAAAAGUAUUAUUAGAUAGUAGAAACAUUACACACACAUACAAAAAUUUUACAGUUACAGUUGAGCACAAUGGUAAACUUACUAAUGGGAUCCUUCCGCCCUAACAUCGUCAUAAAAAUCUGGAGACACGGAACAGAUACACUCCACAUCUAUUGAGAAAAAAAAUAAAAAGCAUCAUGCCACUGUCAAGACCCUAACUUACUUGAUAUUCAAUAAUUAUUAUUUCUGAAAACACUAACCUUUCAGUUUAUCUGCAAUCUCCUUGUCAACAUAAGCGCCAAAACCCAAUACAUCCGGAUGACACGAAAUAACGUAAAUUCUCUUUUUUGCUUCUUUUCCACUGAAGAGAAGUCAAAAUUUGCAAUUUAUUAGAAAAUGGUGUAAUAGAAAUCAAUUAAACAAAAGCUUAUAAUUCUUCAAAUAAAAAAUACGGUUGAGCAGAGUGAUCACAUGUUUCGUACAUGGCAGGGUCUAUCUAUAUUGGACAACCCACAACUCCAUAAAAGAUUAGUGGAUGGGUCAUGUUUUGCUAAGAGGAGGGAUAUAGAUAUAUUCAAUCUAAAAGCCAUAGAGAAAUUUGCAAACCCAAUAUGCAUAAAAAACUUACAAUAAUAUAGUAUGUAAUUUAUUGCAAAAAGAAAUAAAUAUCAAGCAAUCAUAAACACCUGAUUUAUAGUUAUGUUCUUCAUUUAAUAUUAGUUAAUCAGUUCCACAAAUUAAUGUCCCUUUAUGGACUCCACCAUAUUGCUACAGGCAAUAAUCCCCAAGAGCAUUUGUGUUACAAUCCUCAUAACAUAAAUUUAGGGGAUUAACAGCAUAUUCCAGUUUGAUCAAGUCUCCAAAACUGUAGUCCUUAUUCCGAGCAGCACCUCCAAUCCAGGAUCAUAAUAAGCACUUGCCAUAUUUGCAUAUUUUGCUCAAGUUAGGAACUGUACCUCUGAAGAUGAAAUUGUUGCAUGUGUGUCAAAGUGUCCAAAUCAGUGCGUAAGGAAGUAAGCUCCUUAGUUUUGCACCCAGUGUUGUGUCGUGGCCAUCGC
rnacentral:lncRNA from 1 species